rnacentral:sRNA from 1 species
UAGCUAGGACUACAGGUGCAUACCACCAUAACCAGCUUUAAUUAAAUGUUUUUUAUUUGGUUUUUUUUUUAAGUUUUCUGUAUUCACACAAGGGGUUGCCCAAAUAUAAUUUUGCUUUGACUAUUGAGAUCUAGUGAAAGUGGGGUAUAUGAAUUCUAAUUGCAAAUAUCCAGGCUGAGGCAUGAGAAUCGCUUGAACCCAGUAGGCGGAGGUUGCAGUGAGCCGAGAUCGCACCAUUGCACUCCAGCCUGGGCAACAAGAGCGAAACUCCAUCUCUAAAAAAG